AACCGGGGUACUGCGCCUUCCUGAUGAGCCCCUGAAAAAAGGGCGAAACCGGUC
rnacentral:hammerhead_ribozyme from 13 species